rnacentral:rRNA from 1 species
ACGGAGGAUGCAAGCGUUAUCCGGAUUCAUUGGGUUUAAAGGGUGCGCAGGCGGAUUAAUAAGUCAGUGGUGAAAUCCUACGGCUCAACUGUAGAACUGCAAUUGAUACUGUUAGUCUUGAGCAUUGUUGAGGUAGGUAGAAUGCGUCGUGUAGCGGUGAAAUGCGUAGAUAUGACGCAGAACACCAAUCGCGAAGGCAGCUUACCAAGCAAUAACUGACGCUCAUGCGCGAAAGCGUGGGGAUCAAACAG